CCUUAUCAUUUAGAGGAAGGAGAAGUCGUAACAAGGUUACCGUAGGUGAACCUGCAGUAGGAUCAUU
rnacentral:rRNA from 1 species